GCCUUGGUGGCCGAAUGGUAUGGCAUUAGGGUUUGUCCCAAAAUAAGAGGGUUAGAGUCCCUCACAUGGCG
rnacentral:tRNA from 1 species